UACGUAGGGUGCAAGCGUUGUCCGGAUUAUUGGGUUUAAAGGGUGCGUAGGCGGCCUGUAAGUCAGUGGUGAAAUACUCCAGCUUAACUGGAGGGUGCCAUUGAUACUGCAGGGCUUGAGUUAAGUUGAAGUUGGCGGAAUUGACGGUGUAGCGGUGAAAUGCUUAGAUAUCGUCAAGAACACCGAUAGUGAAGACAGCUAACUAAACUUUUACUGACGCUGAGGCACGAAAGUGUGGGGAUCAAACAGG
rnacentral:rRNA from 1 species